rnacentral:rRNA from 1 species
GACGAACGCUGGCGGCGUGCCUAAUACAUGCAAGUCGAACGCAGUGGGGACGGGUGAUUAACACGUGGGUAACCUCCCAUCAGAGGGGAUAACACUUGGAAAAUGGCGCUAAACUGAUACUGAUGGAUGGACUAGCGGUGCAUUAGCUAGUUGGUGGGGUAACGGCUCACCAAGGCCACGAUGCAUAGCCGACCUGAGAGGGUGAUCGGCCACACUGGGACUGAGACACGGCCCAGACUCCUACGGGAGGCAGCAGUAGGGAAUCUUCGACAAUGGACGAAAGUCUGACCGAGCAACGCCGCGUGAGUGAAGAAGGUUUUCGGAUCGUAAAGCUCUGUUGUUAGAGAAGCGGUAUCUAACCAGAAAGCCACGGCUAACUACGUGCCAGCAGCCGCGGUAAUUC